UGGCAGCCUUAGGCCUGGGGAGCAAGUCCAGUCAAGGUGCCCAUGGAUCAGAUGGGCCGCCAGCCGCUGUCAAAGCACCUGACAAAGACUGACAACUGGUGAAUGGAAAACCGGAAUAAGCACUUGGAAGAAGAAAACCAACAACUGAGACAACUAAUUGUUACAGGCAAGUCAAUAUACCUACCUCUCAGCUAGAUUUUCCUGGCGUAAUGGAUACUUUGAAAACCACAAGAGCGCAGCUAAUAGCACUGAAGGUGGCAGUUCAUACUGUGUGGGACAGAAGGUGAUGCACACGAUACACCCAUCUGAAGAGUUGAACUCAUCUGCUUGUCAAGUGUCCUACUCUAGGCCUAAACAGCUGCUACUUUGACAAUGUUUCCUGGGACUUCAUAAGCUGUGAUCAGUGACGCUGUUACGAGAAAAAUUGCGGCGUUGAAAUAUCACCUGAAGGGAAACAUCAGGAACCUCAUCAGAA